rnacentral:rRNA from 1 species
CAGAGUUUGACCUGGCUCAGGACGAACGCUGGCGGCGUGCCUAACACAUGCAAGUCGAGCGGAGACAGUGAGUAGCUUGCUAUGAGUUGUUUUAGCGGCGGACGGGUGAGUAACGCGUGAGCAACCUUUCCCAGACAGGGGAAUAACACACCGAAAGGUGUACUAAUACCGCAUAAGACCACGGGAUCACAUGGUUCUGGUGUAAAAGAUUUAUCGGUUUGGGGUGGGCUCGCGUCCGAUUAGGUAGUUGGUGAGGUAACGGCCC